GUUUCUGUCGAUAACUCAUACGGCUGACAGGUGAAUAACACAUAAGCAACCUGCCCACCAGACCGGGAUAACUGUCUGAAACUAAUGCUAAGACCGGAUACGCAAGCCUGGGGCAUCCCGGGCUUGGGAAACACGGCGCAAGCUGUGGCUUGUGGAUGGGCCUGCGGCGCAUUAGCUAGUUGGCGGGGUAACGGCCCACCAAGGCGACGAUGCGUAGCCGACCUGAGAGGGUGAACGGCCACACUGGGACUGAGACACGGCCCAGACUCCUACGGGAGGCAGCAGUAGGGAAUCUUCCACAAUGGGCGAAAGCCUGACGGAGCAACGCCGCGUGAGUGAUGAAGGUUUUCGGAUCGUAAAGCUCUGUUGCCAAGGAAGAAAUGUAAGGAGAGUAACUGCUCUUUACUUGACGGUACUUGAGAAGAAAGCCCCGGCUAACUACGUGCCAGCAGCCGCGGUAAUACGUAGGGGGCAAGCGUUGUCCGGAAUUAUUGGGCGUAAAGCGCGCGCAGGCGGUCUUUUAAGUCUGGGGUUUAAUUGCAGGGCUCAACCCUGUAUCGCCUUGGAAACUGGGAGACUGGAGUGUACGAGAGGAAAGUGGAAUUCCCCGUGUAUCGGUGAAAUGCGUACACAUGUGGAGGAACACAGGUGGCGAAAGCGACCUUCCGGGCUAAUACUGACCCUUAGGCGCGAAAGCGCGCGGACCAACCAGGAUUACAUUCCCUGGUAGCCCACGCCGUAAACGAAGAGUGCUAAGUGUUAAGGGUUUCGAUACCCUUGGGUGCCAAAGUUAACACAAUAACCCCUCCCCCUGGGGGAGAACCCUCCCAAAACUUGAACCCACAGG
rnacentral:rRNA from 1 species